UCUUUAAGGAUGAGUGGGACACCGAUUUCCCAAAACAUAAAUCACUUUUGUUUUUGUUUUUGGGAAAGCGGUGUCCCACUCAUUCUUAAA
rnacentral:pre_miRNA from 1 species